rnacentral:misc_RNA from 1 species
AAGUCGUAACAAGGUUUCCGUAGGUGAACCUGCGGAAGGAUCAUUACUGAGUAAAAUGGGUCUUUUAGGCCCAUAACUCCCACCCUUUUGUGUACCUUACCAAAAUUUUAAGUUGCCUUGGUAGGAACCUACCUCCCUAUUUUUUGGGGGGGGCAAGGCCUACCAUUGGAACUCUUUUAAACUCUUAUCAAUUGAGUCGUCUGAGAAAAUAAAUUCAAAUGAAUUAAAACUUUCAACAACGGAUCUCUUGGUUCUG